rnacentral:rRNA from 1 species
AUUGAACGCUGGCGGCAGGCCUAACACAUGCAAGUCGAGCGGCAGCGGGACCUUCGGGUUGCCGGCGAGCGGCGGACGGGUGAGUAAUGCCUAGGAAUCUGCCUGUUAGUGGGGGAUAACGCGGGGAAACUCGCGCUAAUACCGCAUACGUCCUACGGGAGAAAGCGGGGGCUCUUCGGACCUCGCGCUAACAGAUGAGCCUAGGUCGGAUUAGCUAGUUGGUGGGGUAAUGGCUCACCAAGGCGACGAUCCGUAACUGGUCUGAGAGGAUGAUCAGUCACACUGGAACUGAGACACGGUCCAGACUCCUACGGGAGGCAGCAGUGGGGAAUAUUGGACAAUGGGCGAAAGCCUGAUCCAGCCAUGCCGCGUGUGUGAAGAAGGUCUUCGGAUUGUAAAGCACUUUAAGUCGGGAGGAAGGGCUGUAGGUUAAUACCCUGCGGUUUUGACGUUACCGACAGAAUAAGCACCGGCUAACUUCGUGCCAGCAGCCGCCGUAA